rnacentral:lncRNA from 1 species
CUGGGGGCUGUGACUGAUGGACACGGGCUGGUCAGGAGGAGCACGAACUCCCCGUGCAGGAACAUCCCUGUGAGGGGCUCACCCCCGUGCAGGAACAUCCCUGUGAGGGGCUCGCUCCUCCGUGGGACACACGGUGCUGGGGGGAGCUGGCGGGCUGGGACUGGAGCAGAGGACAGGGAGGUGUCCUGCUGGAGCAUCUCAGGUGCCCCAGUGAUAAGGACAUGGAUGAAACGUUCCUGAGACAACUGGGAGAAGGUUUGGUGUCCUCAGGGGCAAUGCUGGUCCUCACAGGGGCCUCGAACCUCCCUGAGAGCUGCUAGAAGAGCAGCACAGCAGGGCUCCAGCAGCGGUGGUUCCUUGGGAAGAACUGAGAGGGGCUGCACCAGCUGGGGCUGCCGUGAACCAGGGGAGGGCAGCACCCAGAGGGGGGAGGAAAGCUGACAGCAAGGCACAGCCCUGGGCUUCAGCCUGGUUAAUGAGCCGGUAGGUGGGCUCUGGUGGGAGGGGGCAUAAGGGUGAAGGAGGUAAGGAAAGCUGAAAAGCCUUUCAGGAGAAGCUGAAGUGUGAUCACUGGAUGGCUGAGGUGGGAAGGGGCCUCUGGAGCUCAUCUGCUCCAAACGCCUGUGCAGAACAAAGUCAGCCAGAGCAGGUUGCUCAGGGCCAUGCCCAUCAGGGCUUUGAAAUGUGAAAUUCCAUCGGGACAUAAGAAAACAAGAACUAGAAAACUGUACCGGGGGGAAGGGGGGGGGAAGAGAGAGAGGAAGAGAAAAAGAGAAGAAGAGAAAAAGAGAGGAAGAGAGAAAGAAAACUGUACUGGAUGAGGUUUCCCAGAGAUGUUGUGGUGUCUCAGCCCCUGAAGAUGUUCCAAUCCAGCCCAAACUCAGUCCUGGUCAGGCUGCUUCAGCCGGCCCCGUCUCCAGAUGAUCUCCAGCAAUCAUCCAGAGAUGAUGAGGCCCAGGUGAUCUCCAGUGAUCCGUAUCAGAAUCACCAACUAUCUCCCCUAUGAGGUAGGCUCACAGAAUAUCUGAAGUUGGAAGGGACCCACGAGGAUCAUCAAAUCCAACUCCUGGCUCCAGGACCACCCAAUAUCCAGAGCUUACAUCUGAGAGCGUUCUCCGAAUGCUCUGUGACCUCCAGCAGCCCGGUGCCAUGUCCACGUCCCUGAGGAGCCUGUCCCAGUGCCCGACCACCCCUGGGUGCAGACCCUUUCCCUAACCCCCAUCCUGA